GACGAACGCUGGCGGCGUGCUUAACACAUGCAAGUCGAACGGAAAGGCCCUGCUUUUGUGGGGUGCUCGAGUGGCGAACGGGUGAGUAACACGUGAGUAACCUGCCCUUGACUUUGGGAUAACUUCAGGAAACUGGGGCUAAUACCGGAUAGGAGCUCCUGCUGCAUGGUGGGGGUUGGAAAGUUUCGGCGGUUGGGGAUGGACUCGCGGCUUAUCAGCUUGUUGGUGGGGUAGUGGCUUACCAAGGCUUUGACGGGUAGCCGGCCUGAGAGGGUGACCGGCCACAUUGGGACUGGGAUACGGCCCAGACUCCUACGGGAGGCAGCAGUGGGGAAUAUUGCACAAUGGGCGGAAGCCUGAUGCAGCAACGCCGCGUGCGGGAUGACGGCCUUCGGGUUGUAAACCGCUUUCGCCUGUGACGAAGCGUGAGUGACGGUAAUGGGUAAAGAAGAACCGGCUAACUACGUG
rnacentral:rRNA from 1 species